rnacentral:rRNA from 1 species
UACAGAGAGUGCGAACGUUGUUCGGAAUUACUGGGCUUAAAGCGCACGUAGGCGGCAUCGUAAGUGUCGGGUGAAAUCCCACGGCUCACCCGUGGAACUGCCCGGCAGACUGCGAUGCUCGAGUGUGGUAGGGGAGAACGGAACUCCUGGUGGAGCGGUGAAAUGCGCAGAUAUCAGGAGGAACACCGGUGGCGAAGGCGGAUCUCUGGGCCAUUACUGACGCUGAGGAGCGAAAGCGUGGGGAGCGAACAGG